UGCCGGAUCGUCUAAUGGUAGGACACAGGUUUCUGGAGCCUGUUAUCGGGGUUCGAGUCCCUGUCCGGCAGCCA
rnacentral:tRNA from 1 species